GGGUUGUGAGGUUAAGCGACUAAGCGUACACGGUGGAUGCCCUGGCAGUCAGAGGCGAUGAAGGACGUGCUAAUCUGCGAUAAGCGUCGGUAAGGUGAUAUGAACCGUUAUAACCGGCGAUUUCCGAAUGGGGAAACCCAGUGUGUUUCGACACACUAUCAUUAACUGAAUCCAUAGGUUAAUGAGGCGAACCGGGGGAACUGAAACAUCUAAGUACCCCGAGGAAAAGAAAUCAACCGAGAUUCCCCCAGUAGCGGCGAGCGAACGGGGAGCAGCCCAGAGCCUGAAUCAGUGUGUGUGUUAGUGGAAGCGUCUGGAAAGGCGCGCGAUACAGGGUGACAGCCCCGUACACAAAAAUGCACAUGCUGUGAGCUCGAUGAGUAGGGCGGGACACGUGGUAUCCUGUCUGAAUAUGGGGGGACCAUCCUCCAAGGCUAAAUACUCCUGACUGACCGAUAGUGAACCAGUACCGUGAGGGAAAGGCGAAAAGAACCCCGGCGAGGGGAGUGAAAAAGAACCUGAAACCGUGUACGUACAAGCAGUGGGAGCACGCUUAGGCGUGUGACUGCGUACCUUUUGUAUAAUGGGUCAGCGACUUAUAUUCUGUAGCAAGGUUAACCGAAUAGGGGAGCCGAAGGGAAACCGAGUCUUAACUGGGCGUUAAGUUGCAGGGUAUAGACCCGAAACCCGGUGAUCUAGCCAUGGGCAGGUUGAAGGUUGGGUAACACUAACUGGAGGACCGAACCGACUAAUGUUGAAAAAUUAGCGGAUGACUUGUGGCUGGGGGUGAAAGGCCAAUCAAACCGGGAGAUAGCUGGUUCUCCCCGAAAGCUAUUUAGGUAGCGCCUCGUGAAUUCAUCUCCGGGGGUAGAGCACUGUUUCGGCAAGGGGGUCAUCCCGACUUACCAACCCGAUGCAAACUGCGAAUACCGGAGAAUGUUAUCACGGGAGACACACGGCGGGUGCUAACGUCCGUCGUGAAGAGGGAAACAACCCAGACCGCCAGCUAAGGUCCCAAAGUCAUGGUUAAGUGGGAAACGAUGUGGGAAGGCCCAGACAGCCAGGAUGUUGGCUUAGAAGCAGCCAUCAUUUAAAGAAAGCGUAAUAGCUCACUGGUCGAGUCGGCCUGCGCGGAAGAUGUAACGGGGCUAAACCAUGCACCGAAGCUGCGGCAGCGACGCUGAUGCGUUGUUGGGUAGGGGAGCGUUCUGUAAGCCUGCGAAGGUGUGCUGUGAGGCAUGCUGGAGGUAUCAGAAGUGCGAAUGCUGACAUAAGUAACGAUAAAGCGGGUGAAAAGCCCGCUCGCCGGAAGACCAAGGGUUCCUGUCCAACGUUAAUCGGGGCAGGGUGAGUCGACCCCUAAGGCGAGGCCGAAAGGCGUAGUCGAUGGGAAACAGGUUAAUAUUCCUGUACUUGGUGUUACUGCGAAGGGGGGACGGAGAAGGCUAUGUUGGCCGGGCGACGGUUGUCCCGGUUUAAGCGUGUAGGCUGGUUUUCCAGGCAAAUCCGGAAAAUCAAGGCUGAGGCGUGAUGACGAGGCACUACGGUGCUGAAGCAACAAAUGCCCUGCUUCCAGGAAAAGCCUCUAAGCAUCAGGUAACAUCAAAUCGUACCCCAAACCGACACAGGUGGUCAGGUAGAGAAUACCAAGGCGCUUGAGAGAACUCGGGUGAAGGAACUAGGCAAAAUGGUGCCGUAACUUCGGGAGAAGGCACGCUGAUAUGUAGGUGAAGCGACUUGCUCGUGGAGCUGAAAUCAGUCGAAGAUACCAGCUGGCUGCAACUGUUUAUUAAAAACACAGCACUGUGCAAACACGAAAGUGGACGUAUACGGUGUGACGCCUGCCCGGUGCCGGAAGGUUAAUUGAUGGGGUUAGCCGCAAGGCGAAGCUCUUGAUCGAAGCCCCGGUAAACGGCGGCCGUAACUAUAACGGUCCUAAGGUAGCGAAAUUCCUUGUCGGGUAAGUUCCGACCUGCACGAAUGGCGUAAUGAUGGCCAGGCUGUCUCCACCCGAGACUCAGUGAAAUUGAACUCGCUGUGAAGAUGCAGUGUACCCGCGGCAAGACGGAAAGACCCCGUGAACCUUUACUAUAGCUUGACACUGAACAUUGAGCCUUGAUGUGUAGGAUAGGUGGGAGGCUUUGAAGUGUGGACGCCAGUCUGCAUGGAGCCGACCUUGAAAUACCACCCUUUAAUGUUUGAUGUUCUAACGUUGACCCGUAAUCCGGGUUGCGGACAGUGUCUGGUGGGUAGUUUGACUGGGGCGGUCUCCUCCUAAAGAGUAACGGAGGAGCACGAAGGUUGGCUAAUCCUGGUCGGACAUCAGGAGGUUAGUGCAAUGGCAUAAGCCAGCUUGACUGCGAGCGUGACGGCGCGAGCAGGUGCGAAAGCAGGUCAUAGUGAUCCGGUGGUUCUGAAUGGAAGGGCCAUCGCUCAACGGAUAAAAGGUACUCCGGGGAUAACAGGCUGAUACCGCCCAAGAGUUCAUAUCGACGGCGGUGUUUGGCACCUCGAUGUCGGCUCAUCACAUCCUGGGGCUGAAGUAGGUCCCAAGGGUAUGGCUGUUCGCCAUUUAAAGUGGUACGCGAGCUGGGUUUAGAACGUCGUGAGACAGUUCGGUCCCUAUCUGCCGUGGGCGCUGGAGAACUGAGGGGGGCUGCUCCUAGUACGAGAGGACCGGAGUGGACGCAUCACUGGUGUUCGGGUUGUCAUGCCAAUGGCACUGCCCGGUAGCUAAAUGCGGAAGAGAUAAGUGCUGAAAGCAUCUAAGCACGAAACUUGCCCCGAGAUGAGUUCUCCCUGAC
rnacentral:rRNA from 1 species